rnacentral:lncRNA from 10 species
GUCAGGUGCAGUGGCUCAUGCCUGUAAUCCCAACACUUUGGGAGGCCGAGGCAGACAGAUCACCUGAGGUCAGGAGUUCAAGACCAGCCUGGCCAACAUGAUGAAACCCCAUCUCUACUAAAAACACAAACAUUAGCCGGGCGUGGUGACACGCGCCUGUAAUCCUGGCUACUCGGGAGGCUGGGGCAGGAGAAUUGCUUCAACCCGGGAGGCAGAGGUUGCAGUGAGCCAAGAUCACAUCAUUGCAUUCCAGCCUGGACAACAAGAGCAAAAUUCCGUCUAAAAAAAAAAAAAAAAUUAUUAUGGUGACGGCUGCACACAGAUAUGAAAAACCAAUUAUACAUUCUAAAUAGUUGACUUGUAUGUGAAGCAUAUCUCUAUAAAGCUGUUACCUCGCAUAAGGGUAAGCAC